rnacentral:rRNA from 1 species
AGCAGUCGCCACGGUAAUACGAAGGGUGCAAGCGUUACUCGGAAUUACUGGGCGUAAAGCGUGCGUAGGUGGUGGUUUACGUCCGUUGUGAAAGCCCUGGGCUCAACCUGGGAAUUGCAGUGGAUACUGGGUCACUAGAGUGUGGUAGAGGAUAGUGGAAUUUCCGGUGUAGCAGUGAAAUGCGUAGAGAUCGGAAGGAACAUCUGUGGCGAAGGCGACUAUCUGGGCCAACACUGACACUGAGGCACGAAAGCGUGGGGAGCAAACAGGAUUAGAUACCCCUGUAGUCCCUGUCUCUUAUAC